rnacentral:rRNA from 1 species
CGUGUAGGCGGCCAGGUAGGUCCGUUGUGAAAACCCGAGGCUCAACCUCGGGACGUCGACGGAAACCAUCUGGCUAGAGUCCGGAAGAGGAGAGUGGAAUUCCCGGUGUAGCGGUGAAAUGCGCAGAUAUCGGGAAGAACACCCGUGGCGAAGGCGGCUCUCUGGGACGGUACUGACGCUGAGACGCGAAAGCGUGGGGAGCGAACA